UCACAGGCACAUCAUAUCCAUAACACCUGUGCACUUGUCGGAUGGCUUAGUGAAGACCGCAAGGUUGGAUCUAUCCAUCUACUUUACAUAACAAUUCUGUAACAAAUGUAGUCUUAUUAUAACAUAAUAAAACUUUCAACAACGGAUCUCUUGGCUCUCGCAUCGAUGAAGAACGCAGCGAAAUGCGAUAAGUAAUGUGAAUUGCAGAAUUCAGUGAAUCAUCGAAUCUUUGAACGCACAUUGCGCCCUCUGGUAUUCCGGGGGGCAUGCCUGUUCGAGCGUCAUUAUAACCCCUCAAGCUCAGCUUGGUGUUGGGGCCUGCCAACUGGCAGCCCUUAAAAUCAGUGGCGGCGCCAUCUGGCUCUAAGCGUAGUAAUUUCUCUCGCUAUAGGGUCCCGGUGGAUGCUUGCCAACAACCCCCAAUUUUCUAUGGUUGACCUCGGAUCAGGUAGGGAUACCCGCUGAACUUAAGCAUAUCAAUAAGCGGAGGAAAAGAAACCAACAGGGAUUGCCUCAGUAACGGCGAGUGAAGCGGCAACAGCUCAAAUUUGAAAUCUGGCUCUUUCAGGGUCCGAGUUGUAAUUUGUAGAAGAUGCUUCGGGUGUGGCUCCGGUCUAAGUUCCUUGGGACAGGACGUCAUAGAGGGUGAGAAUCCCGUAUGUGACUGGUUGCCUUCGCCCAUGUGAAGCUCUUUCGACGAGUCGAGUUGUUUGGGAAUGCAGCUCAAAAUGGGUGGUAAAUUUCAUCUAAAGCUAAAUAUUGGCCAGAGACCGACAGCGCACAAGUAGAGUGAUCG
rnacentral:rRNA from 1 species